rnacentral:rRNA from 1 species
AGUGAACGCUGGCGGUAGGCCUAACACAUGCAAGUCGAACGGCAGCACAGGAGAGCUUGCUCUCUGGGUGGCGAGUGGCGGACGGGUGAGGAAUACAUCGGAAUCUACUCUGUCGUGGGGGAUAACGUAGGGAAACUUACACUAAUACCGCAUACGACCUACGGGUGAAAGCAGGGGACCUUCGGGCCUUGCGCGACUGAACGAGACGAUGUCGGAUUAGGUAGUUGGCGGGGUAAAGGCCAACCAAGGCGACGAGCCGUAGCUGGUCUGGGAGGAUGAUCAGCCACACUGGAACUGAGACACGGUCCAGACUCCUACGGGAGGCAGCAGUGGGGAAUAUUGGACAAUGGGCGCAAGCCUGAUCCAGCCAUACCGCGUGGGUGAAGAAGGCCUUCGGGUUGUAAAGCCCUUUUGUUGGGAAAGAAAUCCAGCUGGCUAAUACCCGGUUGGGAUGACGGUACCCAAAGAAUAAGCACCGGCUAACUUCGUGCCAGCCGCCGCAGUAA